UGGUUUCCCCCUAAAGACAGUUAGGGAGGUUGAAGUAACGGAGGAAAAACUGUCUGACCCAAGCUUCAUGUCUGAACUGCAGUGGCAGACAUUGGAGGGAGCACUGUGGAUGAGGCUACAAGACGCAUGAUGGUCUUCACCAUGGACCAUGACCUGUCAAGGCAGUAUAACUUUGUGGGCCGGAAUGGAAAGCGGGAAUUCAGGACAUUAAAGCUGUUUGAAGUCAUAUUUGGAGCUUUAAAGAAGAACAGCCUAAUCAGCCAGAUCACCAGGAUGUGGAGAGGGCAGUGUCAAAAUGGCUGAUUGGAUCAAGGGACAGGAGAGGCAAUAGACAGGCCAGACAGGUCCGUCCUUCUCCCUCCUUCUCCCACUAGAUCCACUUCUCGCUCAGCCGAAGAAAAUUUGUUAUGGGACCAUUUUUUUUUCUGUUCCAUUUUUUGUCUUGUAUAAAACGUUCAUAAUUUGUAUCAUAUUGUGUUUAUUAUGCAUCUGUAAAAUACAUAUUAUGCUUUUGAAAUAAUAAAAACCUUGAACAAUGACAUGACAUUUGUAUUUAUAUAGUGCAUAGAGGCAACUCGCAGUUGACUGCAUCAAAGUCUUCCCAAGCAGCAUUCACAAAAAAUAAUACAUAUUACAA